AACGAACGUUGGCGGCGUGCUUAACACAUGCAAGUCGAGCGCGAAUCCUUGCUUCGGCGAGGUAGUAGAGCGGCGAACGGGUGAGUAACACGUGAGUAAUCUACCUUCAAGUUUGGGAUAACGACCCGAAAGGGUUGCUAAUACUGGAUAAGACCACAACGCCCCUGGGCGAUGUGAGAAAAGGCCUCGGUCGCUUGAAGAUGAGCUCGCGUCCCAUUAGCUAGUUGGUGAGGUAAUGGCUCACCAAGGCUUCGAUGGGUAGCUGGUUUUAGUAGGAUGAUCAGCCACACUGGAACUGAGACAC
rnacentral:rRNA from 1 species